rnacentral:rRNA from 1 species
CAGUCGCCGCGGUAAUACGUAGGGUGCAAGCGUUAAUCGGAAUUACUGGGCGUAAAGCGUGCGCAGGCGGUUAUAUAAGACAGAUGUGAAAUCCCCGGGCUCAACCUGGGAACUGCAUUUGUGACUGGCGAGCUAGAGUAUGGCAGAGGGGGGUAGAAUUCCACGUGUAGCAGUGAAAUGCGUAGAGAUGUGGAGGAAUACCGAUGGCGAAGGCAGCCCCCUGGGCCAAUACUGACGCUCAUGCACGAAAGCGUGGGGAGCAAACAGGAUUAGAUACCCGUGUAGUCCCUGUCUCUUAUAU